rnacentral:rRNA from 1 species
CAGGUUUACCUGUGUGACUGCGUACCUUUUGUAUAAUGGGUCAGCGACUUAUAUUCUGUAGCAAGGUUAACCGAAUAGGGGAGCCGAAGGGAAACCGAGUCUUAACCGGGCGUUAAGUUGCAGGGUAUAGACCCGAAACCCGGUGAUCUAGCCAUGGGCAGGUUGAAGGUUGGGUAACACUAACUGGAGGACCGAACCGACUAAUGUUGAAAAAUUAGCGGAUGACCUGUGGCUGGGGGUGAAAGGCCAAUCAAACCGGGAGAUAGCUGGUUCUCCCCGAAAGCUAUUUAGGUAGCGCCUCGUGAAUUCAUCUCCGGGGGUAGAGCACUGUUUCGGCUAGGGGGCCAUCCCGGCUUACCAACCCGAUGCAAACUGCGAAUACCGGAGAAUGUUAUCACGGGAGACACACGGCGGGUGCUAACGUCCGUCGUGAAGAGGGAAACAACCCAGACCGCCAGCUAAGGUCCCAAAGUCAUGGUUAAGUGGGAAACGAUGUGGGAAGGCCCAGACAGCCAGGAUGUUGGCUUAGAAGCAGCCAUCAUUUAAAGAAAGCGUAAUAGCUCACUGGUCGAGUCGGCCUGCGCGGAAGAUGUAACGGGGCUAAACCAUGCACCGAAGCUGCGGCAGCGACGCUUAUGCGUUGUUGGGUAGGGGAGCGUUCUGUAAGCCUGUGAAGGUGGCCUGUGAGGGUUGCUGGAGGUAUCAGAAGUGCGAAUGCUGACAUAAGUAACGAUAAAGCGGGUGAAAAGCCCGCUCGCCGGAAGACCAAGGGUUCCUGUCCAACGUUAAUCGGGGCAGGGUGAGUCGACCCCUAAGGCGAGGCCGA